rnacentral:rRNA from 1 species
UUCCCAGACUCCUACGGGAGGCAGCAGUGGGGAAUAUUGGGCAAUGGGCGCAAGCCUGACCCAGCAACGCCGCGUGAAGGAAGAAGGCCCUCGGGUUGUAAACUUCUUUUAACAGGGACGAAGAAAGUGACGGUACCUGUUGAAUAAGCCACAGCUAACUACGUGCCAGCAGCCGCGGUAAUACGUAGGUGGCAAGCGUUAUCCGGAUUUACUGGGUGUAAAGGGCGUGUAGCCGGGCUUACAAGUCAGAUGUGAAAUCCGGGGGCUCAACCCCCGAACUGCAUUUGAAACUGUAGGUCUUGAGUAUCGGAGAGGCAGGCGGAAUUCCUAGUGUAGCGGUGAAAUGCGUAGAUAUUAGGAGGAACACCAGUGGCGAAGGCGGCCUGCUGGACGACAACUGACGGUGAGGCGCGAAAGCGUGGGGAGCAAACAGGAUUAGAUACCCCCGUAA